rnacentral:lncRNA from 1 species
CGGCGUUCCUAAACCCUGAGUUCCACGAACCCUUCAUGCCAUCACAACCAUCGCCAGUGGGGUGAAAUUGGGAGAGAGGGAGAAGAGGUCGCCGCCGCACCGAUUCCUUGGAUCACCGUCGUCUGGACUACCAGAAAGGUGCGAUUGGCUAGCGCGGUGGUGCGUAGAUUGUCUGUGAGCCAACCUCUUGGCGCGGGGUCAUCGGGACUCCACUAAAUUCGUCGCCGGAAUAUCCUACGCUACUACCCCGGGCGGGCGGAUGUGGACAACCCACCUGGACACCCAUAUGGCUGGUACGUCUUCAACCAUCGUAUACCUAGCUUGCUCCGCAAUCGAUUACGAGUAUCGUGGGUUGGAAUCUUGGGCUGGUUCGCGGAAUUGUAUCUCCACGGCGGGUGUGGAAAGGGCGGCGCCGCCGCAUACAAUCGGGGGGGGGGGGGGGGGGGGGGGGGGAUUGAAGAUGAAAUCGUGUGCCGCUGAUUCCGGGAUGGACGACCGGAUUAGAUCUAAACAUUCCUCCGCGGUGCAACUCGAUCGGGACCGUUGUUCUGACCGGACGGCUCGGGGUAAGCAAAACCUCGUAAAAUCCGAACCAUUGAACUCCGAUCGAGGGUGGUGAUAACAUACCGAUUCGUACGCGUCUGAAUUUAAUCCAAACCGCAAGAUUUAGAUUGGAUGGCUCCUAAUACUCAAUACCCCUUUGUCGAGCCCGUUUUGCUAAAUAGACCCUAGGAAUAGAAGUAUUCAACCCGUCGUCCGCUGCUGUUGUUCACUGUGUCUGGGAAAUCUUCUGGAUUAGCCCCUGCACUUUUCGAGAAUUGACGCGCAGUCCAGUUAAUAAAGAAAAUAGGAAGAAGAUUUAGAAAUUGAUUUUUAAGUAUAAAAAUAAUUGCAGAACUUGUAUAAAUCGUAGAAAAUUCACAUUUAAUCAUUUUUGAUCCAUUCCAGUGGCAUUAUUUUUGUAAUAAUAUUGUAUAUCAAUUAGCUCUAUUUAAUCAUGAAAUUUGAAUUAAAAUUAUGCACUUGAAUUGUUCUAUUCCAAGUACUAAAUAACUUCAUAAAUGCAUAACUUAAUAACCGUAGAUCCGAAUUUAGUGAUUCUUAUUCCUACGAUCUCGUUACGCAACGUAGGAUAUUAUCAUGCAUUCUGUUCUGUUGUUUGGUGUGAUGUUAAUUUUGCUAUACCAUGUUUGUUUGGAUUGUUGCGAGUAGAUGAGUCGGCUACUGAGGAUCCAGGGGUUCAGCAGGUGGAGACUGCUGAGCAGGAGCUCGUUAAAGGCAAGUUAUGCCCUUAAUCACUUCUUUUUACCCAGUCAUGUUCUUAUUAAUCAUAAUGAUCUGUAUAGGUUAAUUUUGGUGGGACCCAAUAGGAUACCAUAGUUUUGGCUAUAUUUAUACCUUGUUUUACCACUGAAUUUUUUGGGUAGUACUUGGUAUUGCUUUAUGUGGUUUUGGGGAUGGAGAUAUACAUUAUUCAUUUUCACAUUUUUAUUAUCAGUGUAUUAAUUACUGUUCAUGAUAAGGUCAUUAUGUUAAUUGGAACAUGGAGAACCACGCGGGAAAACAAUGCUACCACAAGGGUGCUAUAGGACACCCUUGGCUGACUAAAUAGGAAAGCUAGUGGAGGACUACCUUACCCGAUAGGGGCAUCUUAACUUCCGUAUACAGAUAUUAUAACCAUGGUGGGCGUCAAUGUUGGUCACAUGCUUUUGAUUCUUGAAAGAUAUAAAAAACAAGGCAACACAAAUGAAAAGAUUCUCUCUUCACGCAUUUGUUAACUUUGAAAGAUUAACAAAUGAAAGGUGACAAAGGAUAAUAAUAAUAAUAGAUAAGGAAAUUCAAUCGAUAUUAACUCAUUCUUCGUUAUCCCAAAUUGUAUAUUACAAGAGUCAUUUACAUUUGUACCUUCGUUCUUACAAAACCAAAUAUGAAGGUAUGGACGAAAUAGCUUCGAAGUCUAAGCGAUAGGGUUAUCUCGUAGACGCAAAAAACACCCUUAUGUGUGGCACUGUACCCCUAUUUAUAGUGGCAAGUUACGACUUCUUAUGAAUUUAAAAAUAUGUUCACAAAUUCUAUACAUAUGAGCUACAAAUCUUGUGAGGUUAAUAUAUAUCAACUUUUCCUCUCUCGCGACGUGCCAAUCAACCUUCUAGAAUCUUCUCGUCUCCUUAUGUUUCGUGUGUUCACGCUUCAGAGACAAAGCUGAAGUCUUUUAGCUUCGUCGCUUCCUUAUAUGUUGGUGCAGACGAAGGUAGAGCCUGCUACCUGUAGAUGAUACUAGAAGCAUGUUUAACUAUUAGCAUAAUGUUUCGAGGACCUUCGGCAAUCGAGGCACCCAACAGGGUUUAUAAAGGUAUGGGUUCAAAAGAAGCUCUCAGCAUCUUUUUAUAUCUUGCUCGGUCAUUCGUCCUCCUUUAGUUAACAGGGUGGAACUAUAUAGGAGCGCGUGCGGCUUUGCGUUGUUUUGGUUUUAGAUAGUUUCUCACGGGCCAUCUAUAUAUAGGGUGGUAACGAUCAACUAAUAGAGGUUUGGAUGGCUUUGACAGCUUACCUCUUGGGUAACAGUCUAUUGGCAGGAAUAGACAACGCAGGAUGUUUGUCGAAACUAUUGUUUUAUAGUCGUUGGAUGUUUUGACAGCUUACCUCUUGGGUAACAGUCCAUUAGUAGGAAUAGACAGCGCAAGAUGUCUGUCGGAACUGUUGUUUUAUAGUUGUAAGAAAGAGAUAGACCCACUGUUCACUAUUUGUCACCUUAGCCCCUCCCCUCUCCCCCCAAAAAAACGUGCGAGUUGCUACCAGCCGUGUCAGCGAACCUACGAAUAACUGGUCUUUGCGACAAUAGUAGUGAAGAUGGAUGACAAGAAAUAGGGAAAGACCAUUGCUAAAUACAGGAGGUUUGUUUGCAAUUAACAAAUUUUAGUACGUGGUGAACUUUCUUUACGCCACUAGAACUGAGUGGGCACGUGGACAACUCGACAUCCUCUCCGUACACAGCACUGUGGAGAGGUCACGAAAGAUUGCAGGAGCUGUGAGCCGGCCGUUUUCUAAGAUGCGUACGCGUCAGAAGCUGCACCAGCACAGCCGGUUGAGGAGGACUCGAGAACUUGUUCCUUUUUUUUGUGUUCAGAAUAACGGAGUACCACGGAACGACAGGGGAUAACUUGUUCCUUUUUUUGUGUGUGUGAUCAGAAUCGUAUCUUUUGUUUCUCCCAGUAGUAAACGAUACGAAUUUUGAUUUUGGUGCGGCUUCGUUACGUUAUUACCGUACCCAUCAAACCAAAAGGAAAAAAAGAAGGGAGCUUAUUAUUUGUUGUAUUUUUAUUGAUGGUGAUCUCGAGCGGUCCAAUUGGUUCGGCAGGUCGCUCACUUUUGUCCGGU